GCAGCAGCCACGGUAAUACGAAGGGUGCAAGCGUUACUCGGAAUUACUGGGCGUAAAGCGUGCGUAGGUGGUGGUUUAAGUCCGUUGUGAAAGCCCUGGGCUCAACCUGGGAAUUGCAGUGGAUACUGGGUCACUAGAGUGUGGUAGAGGAUAGUGGAAUUUCCGGUGUAGCAGUGAAAUGCGUAGAGAUCGGAAGGAACAUCUGUGGCGAAGGCGACUAUCUGGGCCAACACUGACACUGAGGCACGAAAGCGUGGGGAGCAAACAGGAUUAGAUACCCCGGUAGUCCCUGUCUCUUAUAC
rnacentral:rRNA from 1 species